rnacentral:piRNA from 1 species
UUCUUUUGGAAAUGUAUGAAGAACGGGUGG